CACAACACAACCACCGUUAGUGUAACAUAGUGUGCAUCAACAGUGAAAAGUUAUCAAGACACAAUUUCAGACAAAGAGCAGAAGAAUGAUAGCCUGACGUCGUCAUACUCAGAUUCUAGUCAGAACAUGAGUCUGAUAUUGCUCCACUGGGCUGUGAUUAUGGGGCGUGUUUCAACCGAACCAGGAAAGAAAAUGCCUCUGCACUCAAUUGCAUAGACCUACAACCAAUCGGAGCAACGGAGUAUGUGACGCAUGAUGGUAAAAACAUAUUU